AAAGAAAAGAAGGAAAAAAAUAGAAAGAGGAGGGGUGGGGGGGAGAAGACUUGACACCAGAAGCUCUGUCAUACCAGAGUUUCUCUCGGAUGUCUGGAAAAAGUCUUAUACUUCUGGGAUGCUUUCCAAAAUAUUUUCAGUGACCAUUGCCACAGGCGUGAACUUCUUAAUGCAUUUUGCAGUAAUCUCCACCACAGUGAAAUUGAUUACUGUCUGAAAGCUUUUAAUGAUAACAAGCAAGUAGGGCAGCACAAAUACCAUGAACUAAUUUGUGUCUGUGUAUUUUGUUGCAUCUUCAGGAGUCUUGCAGAGACAGAUGUGUUGCCUCAGGAAAAUCCUGCUUAAUUUUUUUUUUUUUUUCCUAAUUAUGUAAUUGCUUAUUUAUCAUUUGAUUUAAAGGGAUUCUUUUUUUCACACAUGCAUGCACACAUGCCUCUCUGUGUGCAUGCGCACACAAAAGAUCUGGAAACAGUCCCUCAGAUAUUUCUUUAGGUAUCCAAAAAAAGUGUACGUUGAUUUCCUUAAUUUUAAUGUUUUCUAGGAUUUAUUUUAUAGAAACUGAAAUGCAUUCAAAGGCUUGGAGUGAUUUUAAGAAAUGGCUUUCCAGCAGGAAAAAAAAAGGUAUUAUAGCAAAGGUGUAUCUUAUAUACCUACAAGGGAAUUUCAGGAGGCUUAUAAAUGAGGGUCUCUCUUUUUAUGUGCAGGUUGCGGGAGUUGAAGAAGCUGAAAAUACAGUUAAACUUGUUUUUUUCAUUUUAUUUCAGUGUUAACCUAGUAUUCCUAAUGCAAGAAAAACUUCAGAACUGAAAUAUGAGCUGCACACCUAUUCAACGAGAAUAGGUUUCAGGAAUUACGUUUUUUCUUUAAAGACAAAAAGACGUACUCCCAAAUAAGCAAAGUUUUAAACUAUAUGAAUGGAAAGCCUUACGCAACAGAGAAGUUAGAUCCCACAGGCACUGGUAUGUCAGUGUCACUGUGCCUUCUGCCAGCACGGACGUGCAGCACUAAGGCCCUCCAUCCUGUGCUGUGGCUCCCACAAACCACAGUGAUUGAUGGAUGAUCCGCAGUAGGUGAAGAGUGAAAAAUACGAACUUGAGCACCAGCAGAGAAAAACAAGCUGUCAUAAGCAGGCUUCAUUACAAGGGAUAAAAAGGUCAAAAUAUACUUCCACCCCCCUGCCUUCCUUCAGAGCAGCCACUAGACGCAUCCAAGCAGAAUUUUUCCAGACUGUUAACUGGUUCAUCAGUCGGGGCUUUCUCUCAAUUUUAAAUGCCAGCACCACUUCAGUGCAGAGGAAUUGCUGGCUUCUUUCCCAGACAAGAUUUCCCAAAUUCAAAAUGACCUUUCAAGAUUCUAACUAAUAGGAGCUGAACAGAGAUUUCCUCUCCAUUAGGCCUUUUCUCAGAUUGAUCCUUCCACUGAGAGCACCUCCCCCAGCACAGAACAGGGAAAGCCCAGCCCUUCUACCUGGGAUGAUAAAAACCUCUUUUGAAAAGGGGCAAUCUUAAAUCGUGUUGUUCUACAUCCCUGAAACUAUUACACUUCUCUUGGAUGCUCUGAUUAUGGAAAGGCACGGGGAGUACCAGCGAACUAUCUGGUGUUUUUUAUUUUGGAUCCAACCAUUCAAGGUCUGAAUUAACACAAUGGGAUUCACGGUUACCUGCCAUAGGGCUGAGGCAGAGGGGUGGGAGGAGUGGCAGAAGAGCCCUGAAGCAGGGAAUAAGGCUGGUGGGUGCGUGGUUGUGCCAUGCCAGCAGGCUGGCUGGGCUGGAGGAAGGGCUUACAGCAUCAUCCUGCACUGCAGCCUGUGCUGUGGUGUAUAGUCCCUCGGGGACAGCAAGGUCAGGUCAGCAUGAAAAGGGUUGGGGGAGGCAGAGGAAGCAGGAUCCUAAUUCUUAUCACCCAGAUGGUGUUCUGGCUUCUCAUCCAUGUCUUGCGAUUGUCUUGAUGCUGUUGUGAUCUUCUGUAAGGGUUUCACAAAGGUUUCAUAUGCUAUUGAACACCGUUAGUGCAAACAUCUUAUGGCAUUGAUGGUUCAAAUGAAAGCUUGGGUAACUACUGAGAGAGGGUUUGGCAGAGAGAGGUGGAGGCACAGUCAGCCUGGUGCCUGCUCUGUGCUGCACAGUGAGGAAUGGGCUGUACAUUUCCCCUUCUGCCAUUCAGCAUCAGCGCAGUUACAUCUAGCUGUGCCCUCUACAGCUACUGGGAAAUGAGGCAAGGUAACGUAAAACCCAAGAUUGAGAAACAUGGUAUUAACAGGUAACUGAAAGGCAGUCCUGUGAAGUCUUGAAAAGUAGCAGGAUAGUAAAUGCCUUGUAAGAAUGACAGCAGUGACUGUUUCUUGAAAGGAUGAAGUAUUUCAAAUACAGAGUUGUGAAGUUUUAUGGUUCUAUUCCUGAAGAAGUUUGGGCGGAAAUAAACUGGCAGAAACAAAUACAAUACAGUUUCUAAUUGAGAAAACACACCGUGGGAAAUGAAUGCCAUACUGUAAAAUGAAUGCCAACAACAGACUAAAAACUGAGUACACCUUAGCAUCAGGUGUAAUCCCACAGCUGAAUUCAGGAGGAACACCAGAGAUGUGACACAUCUCUUGAAUUUUUAAUAACAUCUUGUGGGAGAAGGUACCAAAAGAUUGGGAAAAAUAAGUGGACGUGUAAAGAAGAGUUUAGGAAAGAUUGCUGUAAAAUCCAAGGUACCAGCUGCCAUCGAGAAGACCAGCUCAAACUUGAAAUCACGUGAUUCUGUCAUCAGAUCUCCCUUAUUUAGCUGCAGUUUUCGGUUUGUCAUCUUCAGCUUUGUUUUGUAUGAGGAUCACUUCUCUGACAUGGUAGAGGAUAAAGUCUUGUAACAUUGAGGGAAUGCAAGAUUUGGUAUUUCUGCUUCUUUCUCGUAGCAGUCUGGGUUACCAUCCUUUGGUAACAUCCUUUGUCACAUUUUUAUAUUGAGAUUCUCAGUUGGCAGCUCUCAUUUUAUUCUCCAGCAUUUUCCUAGAAUUGUUUCUGUUCAAUGCUGCAUAAUGGUUCUUCUGUGUCAUGGUUGAUAUUUAAUAAUAUGUAUAGCUACAUGUGACAAUUUUCUAAUGUCAUGUGCAAUUUUUCCUGUCAAUACAGGUACAUGUGAUAAAAACUGCUUCCUUCAUACUGUACAUCGGCUGUGAUGCAGCACAGGUCCAGAGUUCCCACCUGUGUGCUGAUGGAAGAACAGACAGGGGAAUGGAGGCGUCGUCCCCCUGCCUGUGGAGGAGUCUCAGGGAUUGAGAUACUCCAACUAUUUUUUUCUUAAAGUUUUUGCUCAAAAACUUUAACUCGAGCACUUCAGGAGUCAUUUGUAUGUAGCACUUUGGGAGUCAUUUGUAUGUAUGUGAGUGCUUCUUGAUGCCUGGGUGGCUGACUUCAUUGAAGAAUUAGGAUCUGUUGUGGCAAACUCAGCAACUGCAAUAGGAAACUUAAAACAACAUCCUUUUAGCUGACAGACAUCAGCUGUCUCUGCUGAAAACACUGUUAGGUAUGUGGUUCUUUCUUGGAAUAGAGGAUCUGCACGGUGGUCAACGAUGAUCUGGUUUCAGCGGGCAAAGAAAAAGUCUCGGAGAAGUGUUUGGUUUCAGUGCUUUAUCAUCAACAGCUAAAACCACGUAGGGGCUGAUGGCAGAAGGCUGGAGGGCGAGAUGCAUAGGUGGAAGGAACACGGUCUCGUCAUCUGCAAUUUAUUAAAUGCCACGGAGUGGGUUAUUCUGCACUGGCAGUGAAAGCAGCUCCUGGAUGUAAAUGGGCCUGAGCCUUUUCUCUUCAAGAAAGAGCCACUACUUCUUGUGUCUGUCUCUAAAAUGGGGACAACGAUGCAGCCAUCCAAGAGAGUACAGCACUACAGGACAUCUUCGUUUUGGUCUUAACUUCGUGCCUCUGCUGCUUAACGUCUUUGUCAAGACGUUAACGUCUUUGACAGAGGUGUUUCGUGGAUACCUUCAUUUGCUAUUAGUGUCUUGAGAGCUGUCCUGUCAGUCCAAACGACGUACAGAAUAAAACCUCGCUGUAAAACAGCCUUUGCCACACUUUUCCAGCAUGGUCUGUGCUUCCAGUUGGGAGCUUGAUUGCUUUGGACUUGGAUUCCCCACAAUUAGUGUCAUCAGUUCGGUUUGGGUUGGUGUCGUGACCCCUAGAUUGGAAACUGGUGUUCUAAAACUUAUUUAAAAGCGGUCAGCAAAUUGCCACUUAAUUCCCAGUGACGUAAGUGAAAGUGCCAUUAGGUCAGCGUUCACCUCAGACGUGCCUCGCAGUCUGAGCACCGUGUGUUUGCCUUGUCCUGCCUCAAUUCUGCUUCUGGUCCUCAGGAUGUACAACGAGGAGUAGUUUGUCCUGCGUGCUGCUGCUGUGCAGUCCCUGGCCUGAAGGGACAAAUGAGAAAACCCUUUUUACUGACGGGAAGAUGAGGAAGUGAUUGAACCAUUUCUUUCCCUUGAAGAAAUCUGUUUGCCUUACAAUUCAGCUAGCUGCAGUUGUGUCCAAGGUUUCUUCUGCUGCUGUUCUGACAGAACCUACAAAGCUCCUAAAGCAGAGG